CCUACGGGAGGCAGCAGUGGGGAAUAUUGCACAAUGGGCGAAAGCCUGAUGCAGCGACGCCGCGUGAGGGAUGACGGCCUUCGGGUUGUAAACCUCUUUCAGCAGGGAAGAAGCGAAAGUGACGGUACCUGCAGAAGAAGCGCCGGCUAACUACGUGCCAGCAGCCGCGGUAAUACGUAGGGCGCAAGCGUUGUCCGGAAUUAUUGGGCGUAAAGAGCUCGUAGGCGGCUUGUCACGUCGGGUGUGAAAGCCCGGGGCUUAACCCCGGGUCUGCAUUCGAUACGGGCUAGCUAGAGUGUGGUAGGGGAGAUCGGAAUUCCUGGUGUAGCGGUGAAAUGCGCAGAUAUCAGGAGGAACACCGGUGGCGAAGGCGGAUCUCUGGGCCAUUACUGACGCUGAGGAGCGAAAGCGUGGGGGGUCGAACAGGAUUAGAUACCCUGGUAGUCCACGCCGUAAACGGUGGGAACUAGGUGUUGGCGACAUUCCACGUCGUCGGUGCCGCAGCUAACGCAUUAAGUUCCCCGCCUGGGGAGUACGGCCGCAAGGCUAAACCGUUAAAUGAAUUGACGG
rnacentral:rRNA from 1 species